rnacentral:rRNA from 1 species
AACGAACGCUGGCGGCAUGCCUAACACAUGCAAGUCGAACGAGACCUUCGGGUCUAGUGGCGCACGGGUGCGUAACGCGUGGGAACCUGCCCUUAGGUUCGGAAUAACUCCCCGAAAGGGGUGCUAAUACCGGUUAAUGUCUUCGGACCAAAGAUUUAUCGCCUUUGGAUGGGCCCGCGUUGGAUUAGCUAGUUGGUAGGGUAAAAGCCUACCAAGGCGACGAUCCAUAGCUGGUGUGAGAGGAUGAUAAGCCACACUUGGACUGAGACACGGCCCAGACUCCUACGGGAGGCAGCAGUAGGGAAUAUUGUACAAGGGGCGAAAGCCUGAUCCAGCAAUGCCGGGUGAGUGAUGAAGGCCUUAGGGUUGUAAAGCUCUUUUACCCGGGAUGAUAAUGACAGUACCGGGAGAAUAAGCUCCGGCUAACUCCGUG